rnacentral:rRNA from 1 species
AACGAACGCUGGCGGCAUGCCUAACACAUGCAAGUCGAACGAGAUCUUCGGGUCUAGUGGCGCACGGGUGCGUAACGCGUGGGAAUCUGCCCUUUGGUUCGGAAUAACAGCUGGAAACGACUGCUAAUACCGGAUGAUGACGAAAGUCCAAAGAUUUAUCGCCAGAGGAUGAGCCCGCGUAGGAUUAGCUAGUUGGUGUGGUAAAGGCGCAACAAGGCGACGAUCCUUAGCUGGUCUGAGAGGAUGAUCAGCCACACUGGGACUGAGACACGGCCCAGACUCCUACGGGAGGCAGCAGUGGGGAAUAUUGGACAAUGGGCGAAAGCCUGAUCCAGCAAUGCCGCGUGAGUGAUGAAGGCCUUAGGGUUGUAAAGCUCUUUUACCCGGGAUGAUAAUGACAGUACCGGGAGAAUAAGCUCCGGCUAACUCCGUGCCAGCCGCCGCGGUAA